AUUACUGGACCAAGCACCUAGGCCCUGCAUUUAUUGUGUAUUGUGACAUAUGGCUUGGUCCAACACCUAGGUGGUGUGACUCUCUACUUCUUCCUGUGCCAUGCCAAAGAAGAGGAUUGUGACAUAUCACUGGAUCCAGCACCUAGGUCUUUUCCCACAGGGAGCAUUGUGAAAUAUCACUGGGCUCAGCCCCCAGGUUAUGUGACCUUUCUGCCUUGCCCUGCUCCCAGGAAAUGUUGUGACAUCCCUCAUACAGCACCCAGUCCUCAGGUGGUGCAGAAAGAGUUCCAACAGAGCCCAGCACACAGGUGAGACUGUGCCACUCAUAUGCACACCCAGUCAACAGUAAAGAUUGUCAUUCUGUCUCAUGAAAACAGCCAAUGAUUGAGCUUCUGAAUCUCAGACUUGGAGGCAGUCAAAAGUUAGAAAAUUGACUAUCAUACCUGGAUCUCAUUCACAGGUGGGUUUGUGACUCUCAGAUUCAACACAACUCUGAGGCUGUGACUUCAUUAAGGAGAUACAGUCCACACGAGGAAUUAAGGGUCUCAUGGACAGAUUAGUCUACCAUCUAGAUUGUGACUCUUUACGUAGGCCCAACAUACAUGAGCUAUUGAAUCUUACACCUCGAACCUAGAUACAUAUGGGAUUGUUAAUCUCAUACCUGGACAUUCCUGCAGGUGUGAUUGUGACAUAGAUUCUGCCUGUCAUGUGACUGAUUUAACUCUACUCCCUGGGCCCAGCCCAGAGCUGAAAUUAUAAAAUUUCAUUGAAAGCAGCAAUUAGGUGAUGUAGCUGCAUGCUCCUGCCUUAGCAUUGCCAAAAGGGAGCAUUGUGACAUAUUGCUUGGCCUUGCACCCAGGUGAUGUGAGUCUCUUCUGCCUUCAUGCUGCCCACAGGCAGCACUGUCACAUAUCACUUGGCACCACAUUCAGGUUAUGUGACUCUCCUGCCUGUGCCCUGCCCAUAUGGGCCAUUUUGACAUGUAGCUGAGUCUGAUACCCAGGUGAUGUAACUCUCUGGCCUGGCCCUGCCUACUAGGUUUUCUGUGACAUAUCUAUGCACCAAUCAACUUUGUGUUUUGAUAAUCCUCUUCUACCAAUUUCUGCUCAAAAGAAGGAUUUUGACAAAUAAUUGGGACCAGCACCUAGCUGAGGUUACUCUACUCUUCUUUCAAGGUUUGGUUUGCAGGGGAUGUUGUGACAUUGCUAGGCUAACAGACAGGUGAUAUUCUUCUGCCUUGGCUCUUCCAAAAUAAAGCAUUUUUACAUA
ensembl:lncRNA novel transcript